CUUUUCUGAACAUUUAAUGGGAAGCCUCUUCCAAGAGAAACACCCUCAAAAACGUUCAGGAUCCCGCAUGGCAUCGAAAAGCCAGACAGGAGUGCCGACGCACGCAGGUGGUGGGUUCUGCCCACCGACUCCGGCAGAAAGACCUCCCGCCUGGUUCUCCAAGUGAUCAACUCUAUUUGCAUGCGUGGUGCAGACAUUUUGCCGGGUACCGGGGUUCCCAGGCCUCCGAUUGUAAAGGAUUGUGAGGCCACCCCUCUCCUCGUUCACAUGGAGAGCGCCUAAGAGGAUUUAGAAUCAAGUGGGCACAUUUGCACGGCCUUGUUCUGAAGAGGCAGCUGGAGCGCGGGCGGCCCGCCCGGAGCAGCCCACCGCGGGUCCCGGGGGACUGCAUUGUCCUCCGAGGGGCCGCCGCGGGGGCUCCAUUGUGCGCGGAGCAGGCCUUUUUCUCCUGCCCUCUGUCUCCCCCGGGCCUGCCCACCCCUCCCACCCCGCAGACUUUUCUCUCAAGCUGCCCGAUCCCCCUGCUGCCGCAUUUCCAAUGCAGAGAGGCCGGCAGGGCUUCGGGCCGGCCAUCUGCACGCGGAGAUUGACAGCCGCCCCGAAGAUGUUGCCAUCCUACAGUGAAACUUACAUGGUUGCAGCAAGACCCCUGCAAAUUGCUCCAGCUCCAAGUGUCCAAAAGUUACCAUGGACCCCUUAUGUAAUGACAUGGUCCUUGACCUCGUUGUAUAAAGGCACGUUACAGUCAACUCGUUAUGUAAUGGCCCGCACAUGUGCCCUUAUUGGGCCCAAUUGUUACACACUUGUGACACAUCCUCAGCAUUCUGGAGUAUAAAGUCUCCACUGGCGCUAAGUUUGGGGGACACUGCUUUGGGAUUUGCCGUUGCUUGUGCAAGCAAUAAACCUUUUCUUCACCCACUUCAGUCUUGCUUGUGCUUUUUGGCUCCGUAUUCACCAAGAGACGAACCGAUUGAGUUUGGUUACACAAGGAAGCAUAAGCAGUCGUGGUUGAAUGCUUUCCUUUCUUCCCCCAGAUGGAUACUCCUGAGCUGUCUUUCAUACAUCUCCUCAGGCAGCCCAGAAGGAGCCAGCAACCUUUCGCCAGGAGCUGUGGCCAACCUCAUAACUCAUUCUGAAACCUAUUGGUUUUCCAUCCUUCUCUGCUUCAUUCUUCUUGUCCUUACUCCCACUCGCUGGAUCACACUCCCCAGUCAAGUGUUUGCACUCAAGCCUUUGUCUCAAGAUCAGCCAUCUGGGAGACCCAGGCUAAGUCCAAGUCAUUCUGACAUUAUUUUUUACCAAAUGGAGUUGUAAUGUCUAAGCUAUCUCCACACCCCUCAUCUCAGCUGUCUUUUCACCGUGUGAGUCUCCAUCCAGUUAUUAUGUUUGUGAAAAAGUUGAUGGGGUUAUGGUGGGCCUUAGGGUGAGGAAUCAUGGUUGCCUUUGCUUUAGCCACAGCAGGACCCAGAAGGAGGUUUGCAAUCCACAUUUGGCAACUGGGACCUGCCACAUUGGUACAGUUUUCACAGGUGCAGUGGUCGGGGGCAUGCCGGGGCGUCACAUCCAAAGGAAAAGACAAGUUUUGCAUCUUGCACCUCCCAUCACAAAGACAGAAGCGCAGAACAUGCUGAGGGCAUUUGAGUUCUGCAAACAGCAUAUCCCCUACCUGGGAAUACUGCUUCAACCAGAGCACCAUUCUAAGUUUAACAGCUUUGAGAAAGGACCAGGAAAAAGGCAGGGCUCUGCAUCAGGCCUGGGAUGCCGUGCAAGCAGCCCUACCACUUGGCCCGUGUGAGCCAAGAGGCCGUUCGGCAUUAGAGGUAUGGGUGGUGGGAAAAGAUGCCAUGUAGAGUUUUUGGCAAAUCCCAAUGGGAAAAGCACAAUGCAGACAGCCAGGAUCCCGGGGCGAGGCUAUGCCGUCUGCAUCUACAAUGUUUUAACAAUAGCUCUGGUGUGCUGUAGAGACCUAAUGAAGACAGAGCACCUAACCAUGGGACACCAACUGACCGUGUGACCAAAGCGGCCCAUCAUGACUGGGUUCUGUCAGAACCAGCACAUCACACCACGGGAUGGGCCAAGGAGCAAUGCAUCAUAGGACUGGAUUAGCACCUCUGGGAUUAAGCACAAGCAGGACCAGAGGACACACUCAAGCUGCACCAGCGCUCCACAUCACCGGCUGUUACUGCACCAGCACCUCCCCCUCAGCUCACACCUAUGGCCACACGGAGGAUCCUUGUGACCAGCUGAUUGAACAUGAAGGAGCUCAAGCUUGCUUCAUGGAUGGGCUGGUGUGCAUGUGGGUGCAAGCUGAAAAUGGACAGUGACUGCAUUACAGCCCUGUUCAAGGGUGGUCUUGAAAAACAAUGGUGAGGGAAAGCUUCAGGUGGUGUCCCUGGUCAUCCACUUGGUGUUCAAAGAGAAGUGGCCUAAGAUUGCACUCACAGGCAGUAUCAAAUGGCUUCACUGAAUGGGCAGGGGCCUAGAAGGAAAAAAACUGGCAGAUUGGCAACAAGAAAUUCUGGAGUAGACACGUGCAUGGACCUGUGAGAGGGCGCACACUGUGAAGAUCUUUGUGUCACAUGUUAGCAGCCACAAGAGGGAGGCACAAAGAAUACACGUAGAUAAAAUGACUAACCAGUUGAUGGCAACCAGCCUCUGUCAUCAGCCACUGCAGCGUUGGGACUACAGGCACAUGAAGGGAAGAGCCAUGGAGGCGAAUAUGGAGGCUAUGCAUGGGUCCACGAGCAUGGGCUCCCGCUUACCAAAGCUUUUCCAGCUGCUGCUACUGCCAAGUCGCUAACAUUCCAGCAGAGAGAGUGAUACUGAGUCCCCGGUAUAGCACCAUCCCUCAAGGAGACCAACCAGACACUCUGCAAACAGACUUCAUUGGACAUCUUCCACCUUGAAGAAACAGUAGUUCAUUUUAAGAUGCAUGGACACAUAUUCUGGAUUUGGCUUUCAUUUCUUGUCUGUAGGGCCUUGGCUAGCACCAUUAUCCAAGGGCUUUACAUAGUGUUAAAUGCACUGUCAUGGGAUCCCAUAUAACAUCACGUCAGACCAAGGAAUACACUUGUUCAGCAAAGGAGUUGUUGGAAUGUGCACGUGACCAUGGACUCCACUGGUUCCAUCUCAUGCUAAACCACCCAGAAGCUGCUAGACAGACAGAGCAUGGCCUAGAUGGACCUGUUGAAAGCUUAGCUGAUACACUAGCUCAAAGGUGAUACUUUGUGAGGCUGGACCACCGUUCUCCAGGAGGCAGGGUACACCUUAAAUCAAACACUUUUAUAUGGCGCUGUGUUCACAAUGAGUAGAAUACGUAAGUCUAGGAAGCAGGAAUUAGAAACAGGAGCGAUCCCGCCACCCAUCACUCCCAGUCACCUACUUGAAGAAUUUUACCUUCCUAUCCUCACAACACUGAGUUCUGUGGGUUUUGAGGUCCCAGCUUCUAGAGGGGGAGUGCUUCUGACAGGGGACACAGCCACACCCCCACUGAACUAUAAGCAUGGCUGAUCCUUGGGCACUUCUAGCUCCUUGCACCAAGGGGCCAACAGGCAAGCAGAGGAGUUGCUGUCUUGAAAGGGAUAACAACCUGAUCGUCAGGAACAGAGAGGGCUCUCAUUCUACACAGCGAAGGGAGGAAUAUGUGUAGAAUCUAGACGGUCUACUUAGGCACCUGUUGGUCCUCCCUUCUCCAACUUUGGAAGAAAAAUAGACUACAGCCUGAGAGGGACAUAAUGGCCAGGGGCUCCGAUCUCUCAGGCAUGAGGGUCUAGUCUCACCACCAGGAAACCCACCGAGAUCAGCAGAGCUGCAGGUUGAGAGUGAGGGAAAUCUUCAGUGGAUAACAGAGGAGGGAGAAGAUGAGUAUCCGUUGUCACCCUGAAACCAGCUGUAGCUUCAGGAUUUACGAUUUGCCCCACUACCCUUCCUCUCGUAAGUCCCCACUAGGAACAGAGGCUCACUGGUAUCUUGGAGGACCUUUUCUCGGAAACUAUAAGAAGAAGAGGAUCCAAGUGUUGCAAGGGGUGGACUGUAGUGGCUUCUUUGCUAAAUCGUCCAGAUUCCUACUCAGGAGGAUUCCUAUUCAGGAAUGAAGGUCUUACUGCCCAGCUGCUGGGAGUGCUGACAGAAGACGGCCCUCAGCUCUCAGCCUGUGGAGUUUGCUUUAUCUAAAGAAAACUGCCUGGUGCCCUGAAGAUCACACCUCCUUCCAGGGACAACUUGCACUGAAUUACGCUCUUGCCCUGAUUUAGGACACCUCUAAAAAGGCUACCCCUGCUCCAGUGCUCCAUAUGGGGUGGCUGAUGACUGCAUCAUAUCCCAGCUUCUCCCUCUGUCUAAUCCUGCGUUUCCCCUCUCCCUUCACAAGUAAUGAUCCCAAUAAAUGAGAUCACUGAACGACUUCACUGGGAACAUGGCCUACAACAGCCAGUAAAACUUGGGUUGUUACCAGAUGAGAUAAUUUUUAUUCAUAGGCUGGUGAGGUCUAUGAAUAAAAAAUGUUGGUUAUAAAAAGUAGUCAAUUUUCUUAAUACCAAACUAUAAUUAUGAGCCUCUUGCUAGUUGUCAGUUGAUUUUGAUCAAAUAUAUGUAGCAAAGUGAACACUUUUUGAGAAUUCCUAAAUACAUUCAGUCUGGGCACAUCUCACUUCAGAUGCCAGAUUCCCAACCCUGAUUUCAAUUCUAGAUUUGAAUUUUAGCCAUUUCGUAAAAGAGAAUGAAUUUUCACAGAGCUAGUAGAGGCCAGUGUUCCUCAGAGUUUUGAUACAUGGUCAGAAACUUCAGGAGAAUUUGUGGAUUCAUAUAUUCAUUUCCAGAAUCCUAAGGUUUUGUGCCUUCUUUGCAUGCAUAGCUUGUUUUCCAGCCCAAUCAGUUCUUGAAACUGAACCAUACUGAUAAAGCAGAUGUUUAAUAAUUCAGAUAUAUGCUGAGGUUUGCAUUCCAAGGCCAAUUGUAGAAACUUAAAAACAUGUCUCAUUUUUAUCAGACUUUAUGAAUCUUGUCUUGAAUUAUGACUUCAAAUCCACCCCAUAGCAGCUGUAUAAACUCCGUGGCAGUUUGGGAGGGGCUCGGGACAGAUCAGGAAAGUGGAGUCGGUGUGUUCCAGCUGCCAUCUGUCUGCUCACGUGCCCACUUCCAUCUGAGUGCCUGGACAAAUCAGCAAAGUGGGUUUUUCUUCCUUGCCACUUCAAGUUCAGGGCUUGUCUCAUCAGCAAGAAAGUUCCAUCUUGGGAGCCUUUGGGAAAAGAACAAGCUGUUUCCUCUGAGAUCUUUCAUGACCGAAAGUUACUGACCUGAGGAUGUAGUUCAGAGCGCCUCCUCGACGAGUUUGCACAAUCUUGCACUCUACUGCACUGACAGGGAGGUCUCCGCGCUCGACUGCGCGUGCCUCUGUAGAGCCGAUGUACCGAGUAUCAUUAAGGGGACAAGUAUAAAGAUAUGCACACACAAUCGUUUCAUGGUGCUCAUCAUAUAGUGAGCCCGAGUGG
ensembl:lncRNA